UCUAACAUAAGCCUAGCAAGAAAUACCAAGUGAAAUACCAGCCGUGCAAAUCGUUUGAGUGUCUCCCUGAGCACCAAAUAACAAAUGUGUUACUGGCAUGGCACCAUGGUUUUCUCUCUUCCUACCACUGUACUUAAAAAUAGCAGCCUGAAUACUAGCUAGGGCUCUUUCCCUUCCAUUCACUGGGGUAUAUUUUAUCUCUAACUUCAUAAUUUUGUUCUUGCACAUUCUCUUUUCCCUGCUUUUUAUACGUCAGGGAAUUUUCUUCCAUGAGAGUUCCCCUUCCUCUAAAAAUCUCUGCAGUUCUGAGAAUCUGAGAUAGUUAUGCUGGGUAAAUGUCACCCUUUCUUUUUCUGAGUAAGCAAACAAAACAAGUUUAUUAACCAGAUCUUGAUAUCUGUGAGCAAAGGGUAGAAACCUCAACAUGUGACCUGGAUUUAAGGAAAAGUAGUUUUUUGCCAAGCGGAGUAUUGGGAAAGGACUGUGGGCUUGAGAGCCACAGUGUUUAUAGCAGUUAACGUAGAAUUAAGGGUAAUGUGCGUGUGAGGAAGGGAGAUAAGCAGCUCGCUAUUGAGGUGGGGACCCAUCAUGGGACAGGAACAUAAUAGAUUUUCCUAGACUGGUGUAAUAGAAAUGGAAAAGUUUGAGUAUUUCUUGUUCUCAGUUAAUCAUUUCCACUGACUUAGGCUGGCAAAGGGGUGUGAGCAUGGGCUCAGCCUCUCUGAUAAAACACAAAGACUGUCAGUAAUGAUAAAGCUGUGAAUUAUUUUGAGAUGUGGCACAAUGUUGGUCGUCUGUUGGCUCACUGUAAAAACAAACUCCUGUUUCCAUGCCCUCCAUGGGUUUAUAUUUAGCUUGGGCAGCUCAUUGUGUUAGAGUUGUCUGGGCUGGCUCUGACCUUCCUGCUGGAGCUAAAAAGGGCUCCCUGAAGUGCUGGUGCUGUUCUGUGCUUUCUCUUGUGUCUCCCUCUCUUCCGCUGACAUGUGAGAUUGCUGUUGAUUCGGGUUGUAGGGGUGGGACGGGGUAUCCCCCAUUGUUCCUCUCCUUCCUUAUACACCGGGAUCUCUCACAGGGAGGAAAAAACAAAGGCAAGGAGAUGGCUGAUAGCCACUUCAUGUUACUAACCUGCUUAUUUACUCCAUGUCAGCGUUGACACAAGUGAAGACCCCUCUGCUUCUGUAUGGGGAAGGAAAUCAAUGGGAACUUUAAUGCUUGUAUUUGUUCAGUGAAAGUUUGUGGAGAAAGUUGACAGGUUCUUCCUUCAGAUGCUGCAGGGCCCCCGUGGCUGGGGAGAGCCCAGGGAGGUUCCUUGGGGCAGCAGGAUGGAUGGAUGAAGAGGAGAGAUGCAAGGUUGUUUAAAUGUAUAUAAAAUCCCUCAUGCCCCCAUGAGUCCUGGAAGUCUUCUGAAGUGAUGAGCAAGAGGGUGGGCAGCAAGCCAGCCCUGGGGAAAGGAGGGGACAAGGCAGUUCCCACUCUGUUUUUCCGACAGUAUUAGGUUGUAGUGGAAAACACAGCGUGUCCCAGUUAGCAGAUUUGCUCGGGGUGGCUGGAGUAACUUUCAUCCUGCCUCAGCAAAAGGAGCUGGGCUAGUCCCUGGCUAUUGGAAUGGGAGAGUGCAGCACUCAGCCUGAACCUUGGCUGGGUUCCUCUGGGAAUCCCUCAUGUCCCGGCUUCUUGCAGGCAACUGCAGCCACUGGGGCUGUCCCAGUGUCCGGCUGUCCCAGCAGCUCUGGUGUCAGCUUCACAGCUUGCUGCUGAGGUGGACAUGGUAAAGCCAUCCAGCAGGGAUCUGGAAGAGGGAGCUUCAUGGCAUGGGGCUGAGUGGUCUCUCAAGCUCUCUUUCAGCCCUGCCUUGUGCAUGGUAUAACAUUUUGCCCUUAAUUUUGGCUUUUUCUGCUGAAGGGAAGGAGUAAAGCUACAUCUUGCCAUCCUCUUUGUUAAUGUGAGCAUAAGGCUGGGAAGGUGCCAGGGGCUGAACCAGCCCUCAGUGGUCACAAUCACAGGCAGGGAUCACCGGACAGCCCUUCUUCAUGGGUAUCUCCAGAAGCAGAGAUAGACACUGGAGAGCCUGUUAGCCCCUUAACUACAGAGGAUCCAGCCUUAUUAGAAAACAUGGGCACAGCCUUCAGCCCCAAAUCAGUCCCAGAAACAAAGGUAUCAAAGAGGACGGGUUCUCCUGCACAGGAGAAGGCACUGUGCAAGAGACUGAGCAGCAGAGAAAACCGCUAAGAAAGGACUCGCUGUACAGACACCUCUUCCUUUCUCUGUGUAGAUCCUGGGAGAUGGAGAUUUUGAGGGGGCUGAGGAUAAAACUUGGAGCUUUCUGUGCUUGGGCACCAGUUCAAAUCCAGCUUGGGCUGUUCUUGUUGAAAGCCACCUGGUAGCAGUUUGGAGGCUGCCUUGGCCCACCAGCAGUGCUGGCAGACAUCCCUUGGCCACUCAGCUCAGUGUGGACAGAGCCCAGCCAUAGUGAGUGUGGGCACAUGGGUGGUCCAGUUCACUUCCUCCAAGUGCCUGGGCAGGCAGGGGCAGUGGCCUGGGGCUGUGCUGUUCCUCCUGAGGCUGCUCAGGCUUGGAGCAGCUUUCCUGUCUCCAGGAUUGCAGGAUGGAGCCGGUUCCCCUGGUAGGUGUGAGCUGAGCAGCCAGGUUUGUGUUGCAGAACAAGGGGAGCUUGGAUACCUGGUUUCCUUCAGGAGACAAAGCUCCAUGUUCAAGUGGUGGUGAGGCUUUGGGAGGAGCAGGGGUGCAGGAUACUGCUCCCCUCUCCCUCCAGCUCGGAGUGAUCUGCCCUCACUCUCACCUUCACCCUCAUCCCAUGCACCCAAAGAGCCGUGCUGUGGCUGACAAGGGCUGUCUGUCUGUUGGUGGCUGUGGGUGGAUCUUUGAGCAGCUGAGGUGAGAGUGCUUUGUGGACACUGCUCCUCUUGUGUUAAGUUUGUAGGAUUAGGUCCAAAGUAAAUUUCCUUUUUGCCUGUCUCUUUGCUCUGUUGUUUGCUGCUUUCUCCCCCGGAUCAAUUCCCAUGUUAAAACUAAUGUUCCUGCCCUUUGUUUCUUCAAAGCUGACUCUUGGACCCUUGGAUUUGGAGUUCGUGCCUCUCUUUCAGCUGUUUUCCCAGGACCAGGAAUCAAGGUCCCUUUGGUUGGUGAAGAGUUCUGUGGAAAUGUGGUUUG